GGGAAGGAGACAUUUCUAGGAAGCAACAGUCAGGAGGGUUUCAAGAUGUAGAAGAACAGACCCAUUUAAAAGGGGAAGGAAACAUGGUCAGGAGAGGGAGUCAGGUGAAGGACAGAAAGAGAAGGGCCAUCUCUGGGUUGCAGGUGAGGUUAACUGGGGGAGAUGGGGACUCGUCCUCCUUCAGGGCUGUAAGAGUGCAGGGACCAGUCAAUUGUCCAUCGUAGAGUAAAUGUAAAUGCCCCGCAGAAGAGCCGCAGGGCAUAGGUAACGGCUUUGCCCCUCAGAACAGGGGUACCGUUUGUCCGCUGUUGUGGGACAUCAGGUUUCCUCCUGUGCAGAGUCCAGGGGUGGGGCCCAGAAAGCUGUUGUGAAAUUGAAGUCGAUAAAACGUGCAAAUGUGUUUCUUCAGAGGACAGUGCUACCUAAAUGUUUAGUACUAUUGUGAUAAUUCUAUGUAGAUUUUCAAAGGCCAUAAAUACAAAAAAAAAAGAAAGAAAAGAAAAGAUAAAAAGAGAUACUCAGAAAUGCUACAAUUAUUGUAUUGGUAGCUCUUUGUUAAUGUUAAAAUUUGCAUCUAGGUGACCUGAUAGAAAUGGUACAGAUUUUAAGGUUUUCAGAUUAAUAACUUUCCAUUAAUUAAAAAAAUACCUGAGAUAAUUCAGGCACAGAAAGAUGUGUGUUGUGGAAGCUAAAAAAGUCAAUCUCGUAGAAGUAGG
rnacentral:lncRNA from 1 species